GAGAUCCCUCCAGCAGAGGGGAGUGCAGCCUGUGCAGCAGGAGAAGGGGAGAGCUUGGCAUCUGCACCAUGUCUGGAACAAGAUUCCAUCUUGAACAAGUAUCGGUGAAAAACACCAUGUUCCUUCUCGAGUCUCUUGGAAAAGCAGGCUGAGGUCAGCAGGCUUUCAGAGAGGGAAAUUUGGAAAGAAGCUGCUGCUAGAUGAGAUUAUUGCUAAAGGUAUCUGUGGAGCAACGUGUUGGUUUCCAUAGGAAACUGUCAGCAUCACCACGGAGAAAUAAUUUCCCUGCGCUGCCCUUAUGUGUUGACUGCAGAACUGGCAAAGACCUGAGGCUCAAAGCGGUUAGAGCAAAAACGAAAGUAUAGUGACUCUACAUUUUGAUGGCAUGUUUAGAGAUCUCCCUUGGCAGUCAGGAUGGGAAGACUGGAAAUAAAGGGGCUGCCCGAUGCAGAACAUUCCCUCACUGGUAACCACGUAUUUGUGCUUGUGCUGCAGUACAGAGGUUUCUUGCCUUCCUUCGCACAGUGCAUCCGAGGCAUAGUGUUAAAUAAAGCGCCUCAUUUUAACAUUGCAUGAGUUGUGCCCUUGCCUCCAUGCCCUCCACUUUAGGCAGAUAUGAUGUAUAUGGGAGAUGGGACUGCCGCGGGGAACUCUCUACAGACUCAUAUGGCAUUUGUCAAGUGAAUGACAGUGCUAUCAGCACUGGGACUGAUCCUUACCAGGUGUAAACUGUUGGAGCCGCUUACACCAAGACGUUUCCAGGAAAACAAAUAAAUCAAGCAAGAAUGGCAGCAGGGUGGGUUUUUUCUUUUUUCUUGGCAACCAGCAGUUUAUUUUUUUCCAGCUGUGGUUUUCUAGUUCUAGAUGACAACUCAAAUAUUUUCACUGAAAACAAAAUUUUCAGGGAAACCCUCCAUCUCUUUUACUUUGUUUCCAAAAGCAAAACUUUCCUUCAACAACACCACAACCAGCCUAAAGACGCUUCUGGAUCCUCAAGUUGCACCAGGGGAGGUUCAGGUUGGACUCAAGAAAGAAUUUCUUCUCAGAAAGAGUGGUGAUGCAUUGGAACAGGCUGCCCAGGGAGGUGGUGGAGUCACCAUCUCUGGAGUUGUUUAAGGAAAGGGACUUGGUUAGUGUGCAAUAUUGGAGGUACGCGAAUGGUUGGACUGGAUGACCUUGGAGGUCUUUUCCAGCCUUAAUCAUUCCAUGAUUCACUUGCUUCUGCUCGUUAGGAGUCUGGACUGGUGAGAUGUGGGGUUUCUAGCAGAGGAGUUCAAAACCGUCAUAUCUCCAGUGCUUUAAAUAAAUGAAGGCAGCUGUCUAAGCUACACGUCUAUCCUAGCCAAAAUAUUGCUCAUUCCAAGUGGAUUUGCUUCGUUAUAAAUCGUCUACAAAUAAUUUAAAAAGCGACAGCGUUUCUUAAAUUAUCUUAUCAAGCUCUUUAAAUAUUGAAAUGCAUCAAAUAUUAAUGUUUGGCAAUUCAGGGUAUCCUCAGUCCUGGUUGCUGCAGUACUCUGAUCAGCAUUUGAGCCAUCUUCUGCCAGUCCUAGGAUCCAGAGAGUCCCAUUUAGCCCUUUCGUGCGUGCUCAGCUCCAGGGGCACUCUUUGCAAGAUGAAAACAUGGAAGCUCAGAGCGCUGGGAAGGCUUCAGCAGGAGUGGAGUAAGGAAGGAGUCAGGCAUGAGCAGAGUCAACGUGCAAUGCUACAUGCACCACCUAAGCAUGCUGCUGGUUGCAGGAGUGAUCUCCAAGUCCCUCAGCACAAGAACCAGGAGUGUUCAGGGUUCAUCUACCAGCACUUUGUGGAGCAGACUGCCCCAAACUGCAGGCCUUGCUGUUGCCACAAGGCUUGCAACCAGGCAGAUAAUUUGGCAAGGCAUCAACAAGAGGGUUUUGAUGGAGCCCCUCUUUCCCUACUCUCAUCCCACCACAGUCCACUGUGUUGCAGCGGGGAUUCAGCAAAACAAACGCAUUCUUCUGGAACGCAUCAACUUAACCUAAUCAGGGGAGUUUCUGACAGAAAUAUGUUCCACUGGAAAAUUUCUGACCAACACUAAUUAGCGUUUUUUUCUAUUAGCUUUGUCCUGAAGGCAUGAUAAUAUAUGUCUUAAUGAUGGUGAAAUUAUCACGUAAUGAUGGCUAAGAAUUGGGCACUCCCCAGCUUUUAAGCAUCUCUGCUUAUCCUAAACGUAAAGGACUUGCUCACUUGCAGAGCCUUACAUACUUAACACAAGGAAAGAAUGGCUGCCCAACUUUCUUGCACUUUACCUGGGCAUGGGCCCAACUGCAUUUUAAUCAGUUUGCUUUAAGAAAAAAAAAAAAAAGGGAAUUGUGGAUUUUCACUUACAGUGCAGUAAGGUCCAAGUUACUUUGGAGACAAGCCUUGUGUAUGAUGAGAGAUAGAUCAUGCUUGAAGGGCUUGUAAGAUAGGUGGUAAUAAAAAAACAAGAAAAAAAAA
rnacentral:lncRNA from 1 species